rnacentral:rRNA from 1 species
GGUUAAGCGACUAAGCGUACACGGUGGAUGCCCUGGCAGUCAGAGGCGAUGAAGGACGUGCUAAUCUGCGAAAAGCGUCGGUAAGGUGAUAUGAACCGUUAUAACCGGCGAUGUCCGAAUGGGGAAACCCAGUGCAAUUCGUUGCACUAUCGUUAACUGAAUACAUAGGUUAACGAGGCGAACCGGGGAACUGAAACAUCUAAGUACCCCGAGGAAAAGAAAUCAACCGAGAUUCCCCCAGUAGCGGCGAGCGAACGGGGAGCAGCCCAGAGUCUGAAUCAGCUUGUGUGUUAGUGGAACGGUCUGGAAAGUCCGACGGUACAGGGUGAUAGUCCCGUACACCAAAAUGCACAGGUUGUGAACUCGAAGAGUAGGGCGGGACACGUGGUAUCCUGUCUGAAUAUGGGGGACCAUCCUCCAAGGCUAAAUACUCCUGACUGACCGAUAGUGAACCAGUACCGUGAGGGAAAGGCGAAAAGAACCCCGGCGAGGGGAGUGAAAAAGAACCUGAAACCGUGUACGUACAAGCAGUGGGAGCACCUUCGGGUGUGACUGCGUACCUUUGUAUAAUGGGUCAGCGACUUAUAUUCUGUAGCAAGGUUAACCGUAUAGGGGAGCCGCAGGGAAACCGAGUCUUAACUGGGCGUUAAGUUGCAGGGUAUAGACCCGAAACCCGGUGAUCUAGCCAUGGGCAGGUUGAAGGUUGGGUAACACUAACUGGAGGACCGAACCGACUAAUGUUGAAAAAUUAGCGGAUGACUUGUGGCUGGGGGUGAAAGGCCAAUCAAACCGGGAGAUAGCUGGUUCUCCCCGAAAGCUAUUUAGGUAGCGCCUCGUGAACUCAUCUUCGGGGGUAGAGCACUGUUUCGGCUAGGGGUCAUCCCGACUUACCAACCCGAUGCAAACUACGAAUACCGAAGAAUGUUAUCACGGGAGACACACGGCGGGUGCUAACGUCCGUCGUGAAGAGGGAAACAACCCAGACCGCCAGCUAAGGUCCCAAAGUCAUGGUUAAGUGGGAAACGAUGUGGGAAGGCACAGACAGCCGGGAUGUUGGCUUAGAAGCAGCCAUCAUUUAAAGAAAGCGUAAUAGCUCACUGGUCGAGUCGGCCUGCGCGGAAGAUGUAACGGGGCUAAACCAUGCACCGAAGCUGCGGCAGCGACACUAUGUGUUGUUGGGUAGGGGAGCGUUCUGUAAGCCUGCGAAGGUGUGCUGUGAGGCAUGCUGGAGGUAUCAGAAGUGCGAAUGCUGACAUAAGUAACGAUAAAGCGGGUGAAAAGCCCGCUCGCCGGAAGACCAAGGGUUCCUGUCCAACGUUAAUCGGGGCAGGGUGAGUCGACCCUAAGGCGAGGCCGAAAGGCGUAGUCGAUGGGAAACAGGUUAAUAUUCCUGUACUUGGUGUUACUGCGAAGGGGGACGGAGAAGGCUAUGUUAGCCGGGCGACGGUUGUCCCGGUUUAAGCAUGUAGGCUGAUUGUCCGAGGCAAAUCCGGAUAAUCAAGGCUGAGGUGUGAUGACGAGGCACUACGGUGCUGAAGUAACAAAUGCCCUGCUUCCGAGGAAAAGCCUCUAAGCAUCAGGUAACAUUAAAUCGUACCCCAAACCGACACAGGUGGUCAGGUAGAGAAUACCAAGGCGCUUGAGAGAACUCGGGUGAAGGAACUAGGCAAAAUGGUGCCGUAACUUCGGGAGAAGGCACGCUGGUGUGUAGGUGAAGUCCCUGCGGAUGGAGCUGAGACCAGUCGAAGAUACCAGCUGGCUGCAACUGUUUAUUAAAAACACAGCACUGUGCAAACACGAAAGUGGACGUAUACGGUGUGACGCCUGCCCGGUGCCGGAAGGUUAAUUGAUGGGGUUAUCCGUAAGGAGAAGCUCUUGAUCGAAGCCCCGGUAAACGGCGGCCGUAACUAUAACGGUCCUAAGGUAGCGAAAUUCCUUGUCGGGUAAGUUCCGACCUGCACGAAUGGCGUAAUGAUGGCCGGGCUGUCUCCACCCGAGACUCAGUGAAAUUGAACUCGCUGUGAAGAUGCAGUGUACCCGCGGCAAGACGGAAAGACCCCGUGAACCUUUACUAUAGCUUGACACUGAACAUUGAGCCUUGAUGUGUAGGAUAGGUGGGAGGCUUUGAAGCGUGGACGCCAGUCUGCGUGGAGCCAACCUUGAAAUACCACCCUUUAAUGUUUGAUGUUCUAACGUUGGCCCAUGACCGGGGUUGCGGACAGUGUCUGGUGGGUAGUUUGACUGGGGCGGUCUCCUCCCAAAGCGUAACGGAGGAGCACGAAGGUUAGCUAAUCCUGGUCGGACAUCAGGAGGUUAGUGCAAUGGCAUAAGCUAGCUUGACUGCGAGCGUGACGGCGCGAGCAGGUGCGAAAGCAGGUCAUAGUGAUCCGGUGGUUCUGAAUGGAAGGGCCAUCGCUCAACGGAUAAAAGGUACUCCGGGGAUAACAGGCUGAUACCGCCCAAGAGUUCAUAUCGACGGCGGUGUUUGGCACCUCGAUGUCGGCUCAUCACAUCCUGGGGCUGAAGUAGGUCCCAAGGGUAUGGCUGUUCGCCAUUUAAAGUGGUACGCGAGCUGGGUUUAGAACGUCGUGAGACAGUUCGGUCCCUAUCUGCCGUGGGCGCUGGAGAAUUGAGGGGGCUGCUCCUAGUACGAGAGGACCGGAGUGGACGCAUCACUGGUGUUCGGGUUGUCAUGCCAAUGGCACUGCCCGGUAGCUAAAUGCGGAAGAGAUAAGUGCUGAAAGCAUCUAAGCACGAAACUUGCCCCGAGAUGAGUUCUCCCUGAGACUAUAAGUCUCCUGAAGGAACGUUAAAGACGAUGACGUUGAUAGGCCGGGUGUGUAAGCGCAGCGAUGCGUUGAGCUAACCGGUACUAAUGAACCGUGAGGCUUAACCUU